rnacentral:rRNA from 1 species
GUGCAUGAAGCUGGAAUCGCUAGUAAUCGCGGAUCAGAAUGCCGCGGUGAAUACGUUCCCGGGUCUUGUACACACCGCCCGUCACACCAUGGGAGCCGGUAACACCCGAAGUCAGUAGCCUAACAGCAAUGAGGGCGCUGCCGAAGGUGGGAUUGGUGACUGGGGUGAAGUCGUAACAAGGUAUC